GCGGGUGUGGCGGAACUGGUAGACGCGCCAGAUUUAGGUUCUGGUUCCGAGAGGAGUGGGGGUUCAAGUCCCUCCACCCGCA
rnacentral:tRNA from 1 species